AUGAAUUAGAAAAGGUUGGAGUCGAAGCUUGGAGACGCAUAUAUCGACGGUUCGUGGUCACCAACUUGAAGCUUGACUCUCUGGUCUGAACUGUGUCUCCAAUCCGCCAUCAAGCUCACCUCCGUCGUCGUCCGUUCACCUCCGACAAGCAGCACCGAACCAAUAUCGUCGUCUUGCUCGGUCGAGCUCGCGGCCCGUGCUCACCAAUCUCAGCCACCGCGACCGUCUUAUUCGAUAAGCCGUCUUGUCGUCUUCAAUUCGCCACAAACCUCCGCGAAAGUUGCUCAGUCACCACGAAGUCUCCUUACACUAAGAUCGGAGCAUCUCAGUCGUCACCGGAUCUUCAAUCCCCAUUGUCACGGAGGAAGCUUGAGCAACAAUGG
rnacentral:lncRNA from 1 species